rnacentral:rRNA from 1 species
AUUGAACGCUGGCGGCAGGCCUAACACAUGCAAGUCGAGCGAGCGGCGGACGGGUGAGUAAUGUAUGGGGACUGCCCGAUAGAGGGGGAUAACUACUGGAAACGGUAGCUAAUACCGCAUACUAUCGGAUAACCCAUAUGGGAUUAGCUAGUGGGUGGGGUAAAGGCUCACCUAGGCGACGAUCCCGAGCUGGUCUGAGAGGAUGAGCAGCCACACUGGGACUGGGACACGGCCCAGACUCCUACGGAGGCAGCAGUGGGGAAUAUUGCACAAUGGGCGCAAGCCUGAUGCAGCCAUGCCGCGUGUAUGAAGAAGGCCCUAGGGUUGUAAAGUACUUUCAGUAGGGAGGCGUUACCGACAGAAGAAGCACCGGCUAACUCCGUGCCAGCCGCCGCGGUAAUUC